AGUGUCUAAUUGAUUUCUGUUUAAGCACUGUAAGAUGAAAGCAUUCAGUGAUUGCUCACAAUUCCAAUGAUGUUAAUUUUGCCUGUUGUGGACACCUGGUACUCACACACACUGCACAUUCAUUUCCUUAUGAAUUUUCUAACUGCUUUGCAUGGGCCCUGCCAGGUCAGAACAACCACAUAAAAUUUAUUAAUAAGGCCUUUUCAGAGAGAACAUCAGACAGACAGAGGGAACAACAUGGUGUCUCAAACCCAGGUUCUCAUGGCCCUGCUGUUCUGGGUUUCUGGUGCCUGUGCAGAUAUUGUGAUGUCCCAGUCUCCAUCCUCGCUGGCUGUGUCAGCAGGGGAGAAGGUCACCAUCAGCUGCAGGUCCAGUCAGAGUCUUUUAGCUAAUAGUAAUAACUGGCUGGUUUGGUACCAGCAGAAACCAGGACAGGCUCCUAAACUACUGAUCUACUUGGCAUCCAAUCGGUACACUGGGGUCCCUGAUCGUUUCACAGGCAGUGGAUCUGGAACAGAUUUCACUCUCACCAUCAGCAGUGUCCAGGCUGAAGACCUGGCAGAUUAUUACUGUCAGCAAAGUCUCAGCACUCCUCCCACAGUGCUUCGGCCUUGAACAAAAACCUCUCUGAGAUUCUCAGCAGCUGCCUGCACUACACAGUCUUGGACCUGCACACUUCCCCCUGCUUCCUGAGGCUGGUGUGUUCAAACAGUGGUGAAAAAGUUGGAGGAUCCCAGAAAAAAUAAUGGGUUCACUGUCUCUUAUGUCUAUAGUUAUGAAAAAGCCUUUAAAUGAAAAUGUAAAAAAAGAACUCAGUAUUAUCUU